GUGGGGAAUAUUGGGCAAUGGGGGAAACCCUGACCCAGCAACGCCGCGUGAAGGAAGAAGGCUUUCGGGUUGUAAACUUCUUUUAUGAGGGACGAAGAAGUGACGGUACCUCAUGAAUAAGCCACGGCUAACUACGUGCCAGCAGCCGCGGUAAUACGUAGGUGGCAAGCGUUGUCCGGAUUUACUGGGUGUAAAGGGCGCGUAGGCGGGAUAGCAAGUCAGGUGUGAAAUCCGGGGGCUUAACCCUCGAACUGCACUUGAAACUGUUAUUCUUGAGUGAUGGAGAGGCAAGCGGAAUUCCUCGUGUAGCGGUGAAAUGCGUAGAUAUUAGGAGGAACACCAGUGGCGAAGGCGGCUUGCUGGACAUUAACUGACGCUGAGGCGCGAAAGCGUGGGGAGCAAACAGGAUUAGAAACCCGGGUAGUCC
rnacentral:rRNA from 1 species